ACGAACGCUGAUGGCGUGCUUUAUACAUGCAAGUCGAGCGAGGCGGGGCAACCUAGCCGAGCGGCGCACGGGUGAGUAACACGUGAAUAACUUUCCCUCUAGUUGGGGACAACCACUGUAACCGGUGGCUAAUACCGAAUAAAGUAUUCAGACUGCAUGGUUUGGGUACUAAAGGAGCAAUUCGCUGGAGGAUAGAUUCGCGUCUGAUUAGCUUGUUGGUGGGGUAAUGGCCUACCAAGGCGAUGAUCAGUAGCCGGCCUGAGAGGGUGAUCGGCCACAUCGGGACUGAGAUACGGCCCGGACUCCUACGGGAGGCAGCAGUAGGGAAUUUUGCGCAAUGGACGAAAGUCUGACGCAGCAACGCCAUAUGUGGGACGACGCUUUUCGGAGUGUAAACCACUGUCGUCAGGGAAUAAUGUGCAGCGUGAGUUGCAUUGAAUGUACCUGGAGAGGAAGCCCCGGCUAACUUCGU
rnacentral:rRNA from 1 species